rnacentral:rRNA from 1 species
GGAAUAGCCUCCCGAAAGGGAGAUUAAUACCGCAUAACACUGCGGUUUCGCAUGAAACUGCAGUUAAAGGAGCAAUCCGCUAUGAGAUGGACCCGCGGCGCAUUAGCUAGUUGGUGAGGUAAAGGCUCACCAAGGCCACGAUGCGUAGCCGACCUGAGAGGGUGAUCGGCCCCGCAUUGGAACUGAGACACGGUCCAGACUCCUACGGGAGGCAGCAGUGGGGAAUAUUGCACAAUGGGCGAAAGCCUGAUGCAGCAACGCCGCGUGGAGGAUGAAUGCCUUCGGGUUGUAACUCUUGUCUUCUGGGACGAUAAUGACGGUACCAGAGGAGGAAGCCACGGCUACUACGUGCCAGCAGCGCGGUAUACGUAGGUGGCGAGCGUUGUCCGGAUUUACCUGGGCGUAAGGAUGCGUAGCGGGNUAUUAAUGGGAUGUGAAAUACCU